rnacentral:rRNA from 1 species
UCAAGCGACUAAGUGCAUAUGGUGGAUGCCUUGGCGAUCACAGGCGAUGAAGGACGUAGUAGCCUGCGAAAAGCUGCGGGGAGCUGGCAAACAAGCUUUGAUCCGCAGAUGUCCGAAUGGGGAAACCCACUCCGUAAGGAGUAUCCCUGACUGAAUACAUAGGUCAGUGGAAGCGAACCGGGUGAACUGAAACAUCUCAGUAGCUCGAGGAAAAGAAAUCAACCGAGAUUCCGAAAGUAGUGGCGAGCGAAAUCGGAAGAGCCUUCACGUUUUAGCAUGCAAGAUAGUCGAACGGAAUGGAAAGUCCGGCCGUAGCAGGUGAUAGCCCUGUAGACGAAAUUUUGUGUGUGGAACUAAGCGUGAGAAAAGUAGGGCGGGACACGUGAAAUCCUGUUUGAAGAUGGGGGGACCAUCCUCCAAGGCUAAAUACUCGUGAUCGACCGAUAGUGAACCAGUACCGUGAGGGAAAGGCGAAAAGAACCCCGGAAGGGGAGUGAAAUAGAUCCUGAAACCGUAUGCAUACAAACAGUAGGAGCCUCCUUGUGGGGUGACUGCGUACCUUUUGUAUAAUGGGUCAGCGACUUACAUUCAGUGGCAAGGUUAACCGAAUAGGGAAGCCGUAGCGAAAGCGAGUCCGAAUAGGGCGAUUCAGUCGCUGGGUGUAGACCCGAAACCAGAUGAUCUAUCCAUGGCCAGGUUGAAGGCACGGUAACACGUGCUGGAGGACCGAACCCACUAAUGUUGAAAAAUUAGGGGAUGAGCUGUGGAUAGGGGUGAAAGGCUAAACAAAUCUGGAAAUAGCUGGUUCUCUCCGAAAACUAUUUAGGUAGUGCCUCAAGUAUUACUGCGGGGGGUAGAGCACUGUUAUAGCUAGGGGGUCAUGGCGACUUACCAAACUAUGGCAAACUCCGAAUACCCGCAAGUACAGCUUGGGAGACAGAGCACCGGGUGCUAACGUCCGGACUCAAGAGGGAAACAACCCAGACCGCCAGCUAAGGUCCCAAAUUAUCGCUAAGUGGGAAACGAAGUGGGAAGGCAUAGACAGUCAGGAGGUUGGCUUAGAAGCAGCCAUCCUUUAAAGAAAGCGUAAUAGCUCACUGAUCGAGUCGUCCUGCGCGGAAGAUGUAACGGGGCUAAGCGAUAAACCGAAGCUGCGGGUGUGUACUUUGUACACGCGGUAGGAGAGCGUUCUGUAAGCCUGCGAAGGUGGCUUGUAAAGGCUGCUGGAGGUAUCAGAAGUGCGAAUGCUGACAUGAGUAGCGAUAAAGGGGGUGAAAAGCCCCCUCGCCGUAAGUCCAAGGUUUCCUGCGCAACGUUCAUCGGCGCAGGGUGAGUCGGCCCCUAAGGCGAGGCAGAGAUGCGUAGCUGAUGGGAAGCUGGUUAAUAUUCCAGCACCGUCGUACAGUGCGAUGGGGGGACGGAUCGCGGAAGAUCAUCAGGGUGUUGGAUGUCCCUGUUGACNGGCACGAGCGAGCAUUGCUUGCGAAGUGAUUGGAAGUGGUUCCAAGAAAAGCCUCUAAGCUUCAGCUGUACGAGACCGUACCGCAAACCGACACAGGUGGACGGGAUGAAUAUUCCAAGGCGCUUGAGAGAACUCAGGAGAAGGAACUCGGCAAAUUGAUACCGUAACUUCGGGAGAAGGUAUACCCCGGUAGUGUGAAGCGCCUGCGCGCUUAGCAUGAUGGGGUCGCAGAGAAUCGGUGGCUGCGACUGUUUAUUAAAAACACAGCACUCUGCAAAGACGAAAGUCGACGUAUAGGGUGUGACGCCUGCCCGGUGCCGGAAGGUUAAGUGAUGGGGUGCAAGCUCUUGAUCGAAGCCCCGGUAAACGGCGGCCGUAACUAUAACGGUCCUAAGGUAGCGAAAUUCCUUGUCGGGUAAGUUCCGACCUGCACGAAUGGCGUAACGAUGGCCACACUGUCUCCUCCUGAGACUCAGCGAAGUUGAAGUGUUUGUGAUGAUGCAAUCUACCCGCGGCUAGACGGAAAGACCCCAUGAACCUUUACUGUAGCUUUGCAUUGGACUGUGAACCGGCCUGUGUAGGAUAGGUGGGAGGCUUUGAAGCGUGGUCGCUAGAUCACGUGGAGCCAUCCUUGAAAUACCACCCUGGUUUGUUUGCGGUUCUAACCUUGGUCCGUUAUCCGGAUCGGGGACAGUGCAUGGUGGGCAGUUUGACUGGGGCGGUCUCCUCCCAAAGUGUAACGGAGGAGUUCGAAGGUACGCUAGGUACGGUCGGAAAUCGUGCUGAUAGUGCAAUGGCAUAAGCGUGCUUGACUGUGAGACUGACAAGUCGAACAGGUGCGAAAGCAGGACAUAGUGAUCCGGUGGUUCUGAAUGGAAGGGCCAUCGCUCAACGGAUAAAAGGUACUCUGGGGAUAACAGGCUGAUACCGCCCAAGAGUUCAUAUCGACGGCGGUGUUUGGCACCUCGAUGUCGGCUCAUCUCAUCCUGGGGCUGUAGCCGGUCCCAAGGGUAUGGCUGUUCGCCAUUUAAAGAGGUACGUGAGCUGGGUUUAAAACGUCGUGAGACAGUUUGGUCCCUAUCUGCCGUGGGCGUUGGAUACUUGACGGAGCCUGCUCCUAGUACGAGAGGACCGGAGUGGACGUACCUCUGGUGUACCGGUUGUCAUGCCAAUGGCAUUGCCGGGUAGCUAAGUACGGAAGAGAUAACCGCUGAAGGCAUCUAAGCGGGAAACUCGUCUGAAGAUUAGGUAUCCCGGGGACUUGAUCCCCCUGAAGAGUCGUUCGAGACCAGGACGUUGAUAGGUCGGGUGUGGAAGCGCAGUAAUGCGUUAAGCUAACCGAUACUAAUUGCUCGUGAGGCUUGAUCCU